rnacentral:lncRNA from 1 species
GGGUGACCCCAACCCCUCUGAGAUGCCACCAAGGUCCCCUUUAUUGUCCCCAAGGUCCUCCAAGAUGCCACCAAGGUCCCCUUAGGUGUCCCCAAGGUCCUCCAAGGUGCCACCAAGGUCCUCCAAGAUGCCACCAAGCUCCCCUUACUUGUCCCCAAACUCCUCCAAGAUGCCACCAAGCUCCUCCUGGGUGACCCCAAACCCCUCUGAGAUGCCACCAAGGUCCCCUUAGGUGUCCCCAAGCUCCUCCAAGAUGCCACCAAGGUCCCUUUAGGUGUCCCCAAGCUCCUCCUGGAUGACCCCAAGGUCCUCCAAGAUGCCACCAAGGUCCUCCAAGAUGCUACCAAGCUCCUCUUGGGUGACCCCAACCCCUCUGAGAUGCCACCAAGGUCCCCUUUGGUGUCCCCAAGGUCCUCCAAGAUGCCACCAAGGUGCCUUUACUUGUCUCCAAGGUCCUCCAAGGUGCCACCCAGGUCCUCCAAGAUGCCACCAAGCUCCCCUUACUUGUCCCCAAACUCCUCCAAGAUGCCACCAAGCUCCUCCUGGCUGCCCCCAACCCCUUCCUCCUCNCUAUGGGAUCUAUGGGGCUCGGUGGGUCUCUGUGGGUCGCUAUGGGGCAGCGCUGUGGGUCCAUCCGUGGGGCGGAGGCGUGCGGUCGCUCUCUCUUUUUAUUAGCAGCCAACAGCGUCGCGCCCCGACCCACAACCGCCCCACACCGCCCCCCCGCACCGCGCCCCACACUUAUGGGGCCGCCAGCAUCCUGGGGGGGCCACCCACGUCGCUAUGGGGCCACCACGUCCCUAUGGGGCCACCCACAUCCCUAUGGGGCCACCACGUCCCUAUGGGGUCACCCACGUCCCUAUGGGGUCACCCACGUCCCUAUGGGGCCACCACGUCGCUAUGGGGCCACCCACGUCGCUAUGGGGCCACCCACGUCGCUAUGGGGCGACAACGUCCCUAUGGGUUCACCCACAUCGCUAUGGGGCCACCACGACCCUAUGGGGUCACCCACGUCCCUAUGGGGUCACCCACGUCCCUAUGGGGCCACCACGUCGCUAUGGGGCCACCCAUGUCCCUAUGGGGCGACAACAUCCCUAUGGGGCCACCCAAAUCCCUAUGGGGCCACCACGUCCCUAUGGGGCCACCCACAUCGCUAUGGGGCCACCACGUCGCUAUGGGGCCACCACGUCCCUAUGGGGCAACAACGUCCCCAUGGGGCCACCAUGUCCCUAUGGGGCCACCCACGUCCCUAUGGGGCCACCCACGUCCCUAUGGGGCCACCACGUUGCUAUGGGGCCACCAUGUCCCUAUGGGGUCACCCACGUCCCUAUGGGGCCACCACGUCGCUAUGGGGCCACCAUGUCCCUAUGGGGCCACCCUCGUCGCUAUGGGGCCACCACGUCGCUAUGGGGCCACCACGUCCCUAUGGGGUCGCCCACGUCCCUAUGGGGUCGCCCACGUCGCUAUGGGGCCACCAUGACCCUAUGGGGCCACCCAUGUCGCUAUGGGGCCACCCACGUCCCUAUGGGGCCACCACAUCCCUAUGGGGUCACCCACAUCCCUAUGGGGUCACCCACGUCGCUAUGGGGCCACUAUGACCCUAUGGGGCCACCACGUCCCUAUGGGGUCACCCACAUCCCUAUGGGGCCACCACGUCGCUAUGGGGCCACCACGUCGCUAUGGGGCCACCACGUCCCUAUGGGGUCACCCACAUUGCUAUGGGGCCACCACGUCCCUAUGGGGCCACCCACGUCCCUAUGGGGCCACCCAAGUCCCUAUGGGGUCACCCAAAUCCCUAUGGGGCCACCCACAUCGCUAUGGGGCCACCAUGACCCUAUGGGGCGACAACAUCCCUAUGGGGCCACCCACGUCCCUAUGGGUUCACCCACAUCGCUAUGGGGCCACCACGUCGCUAUGGGGCCACCCAAGUCCCUAUGGGGCCACCCAUGU